UUUUUAUUUUCCAUUUCCUUCUGUGUUUUUUCUAUAUUUUCUUCUUUCUCGCCUUUCGUUUUCUGCAAACCGAUCUCGAGGAAGUCUCCUUUUCGAUCAAUAGAGACGAUUUAGAGAAGCAGAUAAACCCUCAUUUACAGAUGUAAUUUGGAGGACAUUUUCUGCUUUUUAUAGCAGACUUCUUCAUCUAUCGAUCGAUCAAUAAGCAAAUAGGUUGCAAAAAGUCGCAGCAAAGUCCCGGUCAUGGCGGUUGCAGAGAAUGCUGGUGUUGAUUUGGGGAUUAAUGUUGGUUCUUCCACCCGGAAUUUUGAAGCUGUCGGGCCGGAUUCGCAUGUACCGAACGAUCUAGAUCAACCAAAGCAGAAUCAUUUAGGCACGAGAAUGGUCGAUCCUAAUUUACAUCAAAACAGUAGUAACAACAAUAAUCCAAUUUUAAGGCCACACGAUCAGCCGUACCAUAUGAAGAUUCAUCAGUUUCAACAGCAACAUCAGCAACAACAGCAGACUCAGCACAGGGGAACAACUCCAUCGGCGCAUGUUAGCAACCACAAGGCACAGCUGUCACAGGUUCAGCACAACCUUGACCAGGUGCCUAAGAAAGCUGUGCAGAACAUGCAAGUAGGGGGAGCGAUGACGGCGCAGCAUGGUGCGCCAGGAAAAUCUGGGUUCGUGCAGGCUCAUCAGCGAUCGAAUGGCGCCGAUUUGCAGAGGAACGGAGAGGUUGGUGAGAGUUACAAGCGGGAUAUCAGGGACUUGGAGGAGCUCCUUUCCAAGUUAAACCCCAUGGCUGAAGAAUUUGUUCCUCCUUCCCUCGUUAACCAUGGAUCAGGAGGUGGCCUUCAUGCUAACAACUUUUUGGUGCAUAAUAACACUGGAAAUGGCAACGGAAAUACCACUAGAAGGAAAAAGAAUAACUAUAAUCAAGGGAAACGGAAAGUGAACAGCAGAACAAGUAUGGCACAACGAGAAGAAGUAAUUAGGAGGACUGUAUAUGUAUCUGACAUUGAUCAGCAGGUGACUGAAGAGCAGCUCGCCGCCCUUUUUAUAAACUGUGGACAGAUCGUUGACUGCCGUGUAUGUGGUGAUCCUAAUUCCGUUCUUCGUUUUGCUUUCAUUGAGUUUACUGACGAGGAGGGUGCAAGGGCUGCAUUGAGUCUGGCAGGGACGAUGCUUGGAUACUACCCAGUUAGGGUGCUGCCCUCAAAGACUGCAAUUGCACCUGUUAACCCGACAUUCCUGCCAAGGUCUGAAGAUGAACGUGAAAUGUGUGCAAGAACUAUUUAUUGUACAAAUAUUGAUAAGAAGGUUUCUCAAGCAGAUGUCAAACUCUUCUUUGAAUCAAUUUGUGGAGAGGUUUAUCGUUUGAGACUGCUAGGAGACUAUCACCAUUCUACCCGUAUUGCUUUUGUUGAGUUUGUAAUGGCUGAAAGUGCAAUUGCUGCCCUCAACUGUAGUGGUGCAGUGUUGGGAUCUUUGCCAAUAAGGGUAAGUCCAUCAAAGACACCAGUUCGGCCUCGUGCUCCUCGCCCAUCCAUGCACUGAAUUAUUUUGAGCGUGUCCAGAAUGAUUGUUACUCCUACGUUGAUAUCUAAGUAUACGUACACAUAUAUACAGCUCUCACACGAAACAACGAAAAAAAGUUUGUCUUGGUCUUGGACGAAAGCCAAUCUCCCCCUCGGAUUCGUUGUUCCACCAGUUUCUUUUUACAAGAAACUUCUCCACAACCUCGCAUCAAAUUCCAAGAUUUUGAAACAGCGACUGAUGCAGACCCGCAUGCUUGACUUUUGACUUUGACACAGCAGGAAAAAAGGGGGUCGUUGCCUCAGCGGCUUGUGAAGCACUGGAACCUGUCAUUGCCGGCGCCGCUCCUACCGUAAUUGUCGCCGAACCUGUUG